rnacentral:rRNA from 1 species
CCAAAGCAAAUAAAAGGGAACUCUCCCUUGCUUUAUAAUAAAAUUGAGUAGACUAAGUGGGAAAAAAGGGAUGUUAGUCCCCUUUUUAUGGCCGAUUCAUUGGAUUGGGCCCCCAAAAGAUACCUUUUGGGGCCAUUGGCGUAGAGAGGGGGGAUCCGAUUUUCGGAUCGGCGCCGAAGGCGCCCAACCCUACUCGAUUUUUAUGAAAAACCACUCUUUUUAUUAGGAUUACUGGCUAAAACCGUACAAGUAAGGUAGUUUGGUUGGGGCGACCGCCUUCGAAAAAGUAUCGAAGGCGUACAUAAGAUUAAUCCGGGGGGGGUGUCCUUUUUUCACCCCCAAACAAACCGGGGGUAAUGCCCCAAAAAAGAUUAGUUUGACUGAGAGGGCUACAACCCGAACAGGCGCUUGGGGAUCGUUAGGAUCCCUGGGCCCGGUUUAUACCAAGGGGCCUAAUUGACCAGCGGGCUCCUUUUUAUUCCCGGGUCGAACCUAGCGGGUCAUAGU